UAUGGCUAUUUUGGACUACAUUGGGACAAAAUAUGAUGGUGAUCAAGAAAAGGUAAUUAGGGAAACCCAAUAUUUUCGGGACCGUAUUGGGAGCUUUGAUAGAGAUCUUGCAUUGUCAACAAGCAAGACCACUCAUCCAGAUGAAUGGUGGAAGUUGUGGGGUGCUGAUGCUCCAAACUUGUAAAAAUUGGCAAUUAGAAUCCUUAGCCAAACUUCCGCCUCUUCUAGAUGUGAGCGUUGUUGGAGUUUAUUUGAUCAAAUACAUUCUAAGAGGAGAAAUAGGUUGGAGCAUCAAAGGCUCAAUGAUCUUGUAUUUGUUAAUCAUAACUUGCGAUUGAGACAUAGGCUUUACAACAAAAAGCUUAAUUUUGAUCCCAUUGAUUAUGCAAGUAUCGACAAAACUGAUUUUUGGGUAUUUGUGGAAGAGGAAGACCUGUAUCUUAAUUAUAAAGAGUUGGAGAAUGCAAUUUAUGAAGAGGGUGCAUAUCCAGCAAAUGUAGAGGCUUCUUCUAAUAUUGAAGAAUCUAUAGAUGAUAGCAGUGAGGUUGAAGGAAUUGAUUUGGGAA